AACGAACGCUGGCGGCAUGCCUAACACAUGCAAGUCGAACGAGACCUUCGGGUCUAGUGGAGCACGGGUGCGUAACGCGUGGGAACCUGCCCUUAGGUUCGGAAUAACUCCCCGAAAGGGGUGCUAAUACCGGAUAAUGUCUUCGGACCAAAGAUUUAUCGCCUUUGGAUGGGCCCGCGUUGGAUUAGCUAGUUGGUAGGGUAAAAGCCUACCAAGGCGACGAUCCAUAGCUGGUCUGAGAGGAUGAUCAGCCACACUGGGACUGAGACACGGCCCAGACUCCUACGGGAGGCAGCAGUGGGGAAUAUUGGACAAUGGGCGAAAGCCUGAUCCAGCAAUGCCGCGUGAGUGAUGAAGGCCUUAGGGUUGUAAAGCUCUUUUACCCGGGAUGAUAAUGACAGUACCGGGAGAAUAAGCUCCGGCUAACUCCGUG
rnacentral:rRNA from 1 species